UGGGAAUUUGGACAAUGGGCGAAGCUGAUCCAGCAAUGCCGCGUGUGUGAAGAAGGCCUUCGGGUUGUAAAGCACUUUUGUCCGGAAAAGAAAUCCUUGGCUCUAAUACAGUCGGGGGAUGACGGUACCGGAAGAAUAAGCACCGGCUAACUACGUGCCAGCAGCCGCGGUAAUACGUAGGGUGCAAGCGUUAAUCGGAAUUACUGGGCGUAAAGCGUGCGCAGGCGGUUUGCUAAGACCGAUGUGAAAUCCCCGGGCUCAACCUGGGAACUGCAUUGGUGACUGGCAGGCUAGAGUAUGGCAGAGGGGGGUAGAAUUCCACGUGUAGCAGUGAAAUGCGUAGAGAUGUGGAGGAAUACCGAUGGCGAAGGCAGCCCCCUGGGCCAAAUACUGACGCUCAUGCACGAAAGCGUGGGGAGCAAAACAGGAUUAGAUAACCCCUGGGUAGUCCACGCCCUAAAACGAUGUCAACUAGUUGUUGGGGAUUC
rnacentral:rRNA from 1 species